AAUAGAUGAAGGUUUUAGAAUUUUUGAUGCUUUACAUUUUAAGCCGUUUGAUUUUUAAUGUUUCAGAAAAGGGGGGGAAGAAAGGGAAAAAAGGCAGAAGUGGAACCGCAGCAUGCGGUAAACACACUGAAUCUUAAGACGACAAUUGUAGGGGUCCAUUUCUCCAUUGCUACCCACAUCUCACGCACAGUAAUGCUGACAGGUAUCACCUGUGCUCAGUAAUGGGAGAACAGACACCGAUUAGUGGGCCAGAUCCUGCCUUUGGAUAUUCCCAUAGAAAACGCCCCAUUCAGUACCCUAGGGCAGAAUUUGGCACAAAGGGUGAAAUUCAUCCCUGGUGUAACUGCAGCGAGGUCUUCAGGGCUUGAUUCUGUUUUCAUUUACCCCAGCGUGAAUCAGUGGAGUUACUAAACCAGCGUAAAACUGGUGAGCGAGGAGAAUCAAGCCUGUUUCCAUGAGGCCUCAGCAGUGCAGGAGGACCUCAUGCCCAUACAUGUUCUGCCAUGGCUGAAUACUGAUGUGGGAUGCACUGUUGCAUGAAGCUCUCACAGACACCCUGGUGAGUUCUUUGGCUGCUUCUCCAGACCUUGUGAUCUUACAUUAUCUACAGGAGAUAGAUUUUCAACUGAAAGGGCCAAGUUCCACCCUUGACUGAACCAGGUGUAUUACUCCCAUUGAAGUCAUCCUCGAGGAUGGUCAACAGCAUCAUCUGCAGGAGAUCACCCGGAAAAUGAGGCCGUGACAGGUACAUUUCCACCUAGAUGGUGCACUGCAACCAGCUGUGAGUCCGCUGGAAAUGCCUGGUGACUCAUUCGAACAUGCAUCCAUCUGCAGUUAACGGGAGCCUCCUUGAGCAUCCAAGGGCACAAAGUUGGCUUUACACGUUUGCAUUCAACUUACUGGCAAAGCCACAUUACCGGUCAUCACUGACAGCAACAUUAAAGCCAAGUGAAAACUGACUUGCAGUCUUUGCCACGGUGUGCCACAUCUGCAGAGGUCACCACCAGCAAGAUGGCGAAUGUGCAGCAGGUUCACAUAAGCCAGCUUUGGGCCUAAUUUUCCGUCAUUGUAUCCAAUUUUACCUGCACAAUCGGCUGCCCCUCCAGAAGUACUCAUGGAUUUGUUUGGGACAUUCAUAAAGGGAAGUGGAGCACUUGGUGGGUGAAAAUGUAGAACCUGCAUGCACAAAACAGGGGCUCACCCAGUUUUCUGGAUGCAAUCAGUUGCUUGCGCAAAAUCAGAAGCUGGCUGAAAAUUUGGCCCUGUAGUUUAUUUACAGUUUAUGAAUUUGGAGACAAGUGCUCGUCCCCGUGUCAAUUUCUAGGCGCUGCUUUUUGCCCUUUCAGAGAGCGGCCCCACAUUUUCAGCUAUGACAUGAUAUGCAUGUCCCCAGCCCUCUGUUACUCUUACCUAAUGGCGGUAUUUGGAAUUCCUGUGAGCACCAAGCUGAAUAUGUACCCACUGAUGUCUCAAUUAAGGAUGGUAUACUGCCUACAGCGGGAUUUGCAUAGACACAGCCUCUACGAGGGAUAGUUUCCUUAUAAAACUUCUUUGACAGAUAAGGUCUCUUGCCUUAAUGAGGAGAAUAUUCUACAAAGAUCCAUUACUAAUGGGCUUCGGCAUGGGUAGGAACUGGAAGUAAACUCCUACCACAAAUGAUGAACCAAAACCAACUUUAUUAUUUGUCUGGUUCCCACCAAUCUCUUGAAUUCAAUUAAAGAUCUCGCCUCCUCUCCA